CCCCUCUCAGGAUCGCACCUGGAGAGUUUCCAGUACUCUGCCAGUCUUGGCUACAGAAGGAAGAGUCAGGCAGAGGCAUACCCUUUCCAUUCCUAGCUUGGGCAGUGACUAGCAAGUGGAAGGCAAUCUGCUACAAGU